rnacentral:rRNA from 1 species
GAGCGAAUACCAUUGGGGGUAGAGCACUGUUAAGGCUAGGGGGUCAUCCCGACUUACCAACCCUUUGCAAACUCCGAAUACCAAUGAGUACUACUCGGGAGACACACGACGGGUGCUAACGUCCGCCGUGAAAAGGGAAACAACCCAGACCACCAGCUAAGGUCCCAAAGUCAUGGUUAAGUGGAAAACGAUGUGGAAAGGCAUAGACAGCUAGGAGGUUGGCUUAGAAGCAGCCACCCUUUAAAGAAAGCGUAAUAG